rnacentral:rRNA from 1 species
AUUGAACGCUGGCGGAAUGCUUUACACAUGCAAGUCGAACGGUAGAGGGGGGCAACCCCCUUGAGAGUGGCGAACGGGUGAGUAAUAUAUCGGAACGUGCCCAGUCGUGGGGAUAACGUAGCGAAAGUUACACUAAUACCGCAUACGAUCUAAGGAUGAAAGCGGGGGAUCGCAAGACCUCGCGCGAUUGGAGCGGCCGAUAUCAGAUUAGGUAGUUGGUGAGGUAAAGGCUCACCAAGCCAACGAUCUGUAGCUGGUCUGAGAGGACGACCAGCCACACUGGAACUGAGACACGGUCCAGACUCCUACGGGAGGCAGCAGUGGGAAUUUGGACAAUGGACGCAAGUCUGAUCCAGCCAUUCCGCGUGCAGGAUGAAGGCCUCGGUUGUAACUGCUUUGUACGGAACGAAAAGGUUUGUCUUAAUACGAUGAGCUCAUGACGGUACCGUAAGAA